rnacentral:tRNA from 1 species
GGGCAGGUGCCCGAGUGGCUAAAGGGAGCAGACUGUAAAUCUGCCGUCGCGAGACUACGAUGGUUCGAAUCCGUCCCUGCCCA